CAAGUACAAGCCUGGAGACGAAACAUGUUUGGUAAACGGAAGGAAGAGCAAGGAGACAGAUUGCAUCACUGAGAGCUGGAAUCAUUCCUGCGGAGCCCCUUGGCUUGUUGCUCCUCCAUGAGAGGGGUCUCUGUUGGAGUGAGAGACUGCAAUCCAUCAUCCACCAGUGGAGGGAAGCAAAAGACAGAAAAGGCAAGAAGGAAGGCAGAAAGAAAAGAGGGCCCACCGAAAUGAUGUGGUCUACACCAGUAUCUCAGGAUGGAGAAGCUCAGCAAGCCUUACAAAAGAAUGAUCCACACUCACUGUUUUCACCUCCUCCUCUCCCAUUCCCUCCCGCCACACCUCUGGGACCACCUUUCCCAGGGUUACUGAAGGCUCCCUUUGUACAGAAUCCAAUGGACACUUUUAAGU
rnacentral:lncRNA from 1 species